CCUACGGGAGGCUGCAGUGAGGAAUAUUGGUCAAUGGGCGCGAGCCUGAACCAGCCAAGUCGCGUGAAGGAUGACUGCCCUACGGGUUGUAAACCUCUUUUAUAAAGGAAUAAAGUGAGGCACGUGUGCCCUGUUGUAGGUACUUUAUGAAUAAGCAUCGGCUAACUCCGUGCCAGCAGCCGCGGUAAUACGGAGGAUCCGAGCGUUAUCCGGAUUUAUUGGGUUUAAAGGGUGCGCAGUGGGGCGUUUAAGUCAGUGGUAAAAGGUCGGGGCUCAACCUUGAAUUGCAAUUGAUACUGGGGGCCUUGAGUAGAGUUGAGGUAGGCGGAAUGCGUGGUGUAGCGGUGAAAUGCUUAGAUAUCGCGAAGAACCCCGAUUGCGAAGGCAGCUUACUAGCCUGACACUGACGUUGAUGCACGAAAGCGUGGGUAUCGAACAGGAUUAGAUACCCUUGUAGUC
rnacentral:rRNA from 1 species